AAGUUCUAUACUAGUGCCAAACAAACUGCAGUCAUAUGUUUAAAGUAAAAUUCUCUGAAAGCACAAAAUGCCAACUAUGGAAUAUCUUUGUGAGCAUAGAGGUGACAUAGUGAACUUGUUAAUCUACAACAAAUAGAAUAUUUCCUAGUUGCUUUGAAUGUUGCUUGUGCUGCUGCACUCUAUAAUUAAACUACUGAGUACUUGGAGUUAGUAGAAAAACCAGCAGAAAGGAGGAAGUGUUUCAGCAAGAACAGCAGUGUGAAGUGUCUCUGUACACCACAGCUUUUAGUUGAGUUUUAUCCUCUGCUCUGCCACUGAACACUCAUACAGAGCAUCCUUUCUGUCUCAGCCAUGGGGAGCACACAACACAGAAACUUCUGUUUGAUCACAGUCUCUCUUCUCUUGACCGUAUCUCCACCUGCUGCAGGCCACCAGAGGGCAGAAGUUGAGCAAACAGGACAUGACUGAGGUGGAGUGUCAUGUUGUAACAGCUGGAGGGGGCCCUGCUGAGGAGGAAGGAGCCCAGCAGUAGGACCCCAAUGAUGCCACACCCAGACAGAUUUCUUUGCUGCCACACCAUUUAUCAGUUCAGUCAGGAAUUGUAUAUUUUCAUAUUGCAGAAGAGAAGAGUGCUUGUAUCAGAGAUUAAAAUAUAAAAAGAUAACUACUACCAACUCUAAAAUCAUUGGCUGAAUAAAACCAUAAGUCGGUUUAAGAAUAAUGCAGACAUGCUGAGCACACUGCUGCUUAUAUGUACUGAUGUAGGUUAUUGUUUAUGUGUGUCCUUGCUGAAAUGUACAGAGUAUAUAUGACAGUCCAUGAAAAUGCCAUAACCAAGAUGUUGUUGUCCCUAACCUUAACCAAACCUCCCACAGUGGUGUAAUAUCAGAAAACAGUUGUAUCUAUGCUAAUGAGCUGUUUAAAUGUUACAAAAUCUGAAGGCUGACUAUCCAAAUUAAGUGUUGCAGUUUUGUUCCUUUUUAACAAUAUUAUUAUUAAUAUUUUGUGUUUUCACUUAGUUCGUGGGAAGCAUUUUAAAGAUUUUAUCUUAUACUCUGCUUAAUAAAACAGAAUGCAU
rnacentral:lncRNA from 15 species